GGGGAAGUAAUUUUAGUUAAUUCUUGUGCUGUUAUUUUUAUUUGCUGUGAUUGUUAUUUAUUUUUUCUAAAACAAAAAAAAAGAGACAAAAUUUUUGCUUGCGGCGGUACUGUUCACUUACGGCAACGGUACUGUUCAAAACAUAUUUUUUGGUGGAAUUAGGUAUCGGCCUUUUGUUUCCUGAAGUGAAACAACGUUCUGAACAGGACUAGUGGUACACCACUAACCCCACCCUAUCGAGGCCAAAUUCCGCUGUUUUCUAGUGUUUUUAGGCAGUUUUAGUUUUCUACCGUAGGAUUUUUGUACAAUUUGCAUUGUUUUCAAUCUCUUGUGUGAUUGGUUUAUUUUGAGUUUUCUUGAAGAUUUAUGCCUGUAACCCGUUCUACUAAUCAAAU
rnacentral:lncRNA from 1 species